AUUGAACGCUGGCGGAAUGCUUUACACAUGCAAGUCGAACGGCAGCACGGGGCAACCUGGUGGCGAGUGGCGAACGGGUGAGUAAUACAUCGGAACGUGCCCAAUCGUGGGGGGAUAACGUAGCGAAAGUUACGCUAAUACCGCAUACGAUCUACGGAUGAAAGCGGGGGAUCGCAAGACCUCGCGCGAGUGGAGCGGCCGAUGUCAGAUUAGGUAGUUGGUGGGGUAAAGGCUCACCAAGCCAACGAUCUGUAGCUGGUCUGAGAGGACGACCAGCCACACUGGAACUGAGACACGGUCCAGACUCCUACGGGAGGCAGCAGUGGGGAAUUUUGGACAAUGGGCGCAAGCCUGAUCCAGCCAUUCCGCGUGCAGGAUGAAGGCCUCGGUUGUAACGUAG
rnacentral:rRNA from 1 species